UCAUCUACCCCCAUGUAACACUGCCCUUGACCACCAUUGACCACCCCUUGACCACCAGUCUACCACCUCAACGCCGACGCCGGAAAUAACCUCACGGCGGCAGCCGGUCACCAAACCUCCCAAGAUUUACACCAUCAAACCAUCACCACCUCCCCUUUCCCAUCCUGUGAUUAGUUUCCAUCAAAUAGGUCUCCUCCAUUUUGAAUAUUCAAAAUAAGGUCGUCGGAACUACCGUCUCUGGCGACCCUGCUCCAACCCUCUCCAACUUUACACCGUAGGACCAUUAGAACCUCCCAUUCCCCAUCCUGCAGUCUAUUUCUUUCAAACGAUCCCCCGCAGUCUCAAAUCUUCACAGAAAGGUCAUCGGAACCCCCCAUCUCCGGCGACGCAACUCCAAACCCCUCCAAAUUUACACCCCUGAAACAACUCAAUCCCCUCUUUCCAACCAUAUGUGUCACACCCUUCGAAUCCAGUCAAAACGUGUCGAAUAUUAAUUUGAAGUUCAACCCUAAAACCCAACCCUGUCGGAAUUUGGCCAAAUUCAUCCCAGGCAAUCCUUGGCCAUUCCCCUCCCCAACCAUGCAACCCACGACCCCCAGAUACCACCAAUCACCGAGAAAAAUCAAAUCUGAGACCUCAUAAGGUCUCAGAAUUACCAGAACCGCAUUCCUGAACCCCUAAAACCCAUCUGCCCAAAAUAAAUUGCUAGAAACCCCUGUAGAAG
rnacentral:lncRNA from 1 species